rnacentral:rRNA from 1 species
UACGAAGGGGGCUAGCGUUGCUCGGAAUCACUGGGCGUAAAGCGCACGUAGGCGGAUCUUUAAGUCAGGGGUGAAAUCCUGGAGCUCAACUCCAGAACUGCCUUUGAUACUGGGGAUCUCGAGUCCGGAAGAGGUGAGUGGAAUUCCGAGUGUAGAGGUGAAAUUCGUAGAUAUUCGGAGGAACACCAGUGGCGAAGGCGGCUCACUGGUCCAUUACUGACGCUGAGGUGCGAAGGUCAGGGGAGCAAACGGG